rnacentral:rRNA from 1 species
AUUGAACGCUGGCGGCCGGCCUAACACAUGCAAGUCGAACGAGUGGCGGACGGGUGAGUAAUGGCUGGGCAACUGCCCGAUGGAGGGGGAUAACUACUGGAAACGGUAGCUAAUACCGCAUACCAUCGGAUGUGCCCAGAUGGGAUUAGAUAGUAGGUGGGGUAACGGCUCACCUAUGCGACGAUCCCGAGCUGGUCUGAGAGGAUGAACAGCCACACUGGAACUGAGACACGGUACAGACUCCUACGGGAGGCAGCAGUGGGGAAUAUUGCACAAUGGGCGAAAGUCUGAUGCAGCUAUGCCGCGGGUAUGAAGAAGGCCUGCGGGUUGUAAAGUACUUUCAGCGAGGAGGCGUUACUCGCAGAAGAAGCACCGGCUAACUCCGUGCCAGCAGCCGCGGUAAUAC